rnacentral:rRNA from 1 species
CGUGGAGCGAUUUGUCUGGUUUAUUCCGAUAACGAGCGAGACUCUAGCCUACUAAAUAGUCUGCACAUUGCUUUUGUGUUGCAGUACUUCUUAGAGGGAUUUUCGGUGUACAGCCGCACGAGUUUGAGCAAUAACAGGUCUGUGAUGCCCUUAGACGUCCGGGGCUGCACGCGCGCUACACUGGCGAAAUCAGCGUGCUUAUCCUUUCUCGAAAGGGAUUGGUAAACCAUUGAAAAUUUGCCGUGAUUGGGAUCGGAAAUUGCAAUUAUUUUCCGUGAACGAGGAAUUCCAAGUAAAUGCGAGCCAUCAACUCGCGUUGAUUACGUCCCUGCCCUUUGUAC